rnacentral:pre_miRNA from 1 species
AUGCAUUGUUGAAUGUGUUUGUUUAUGGUCAUCUAAGCCAUUUUUCAUCUCGCCAAUUCUUUGUUCAAGCAGUUUUUGGAUAAUCGAACCGAUAGACUACACCCGCAGAAAUGAUGUUUAGAUGACCAUCAACAAACAACUUCCUCUUAUUGCAU